GCGGGAGGAAAGUUUGCAGGAUGCCCAUCGCGCAGCUGCUGGAGCUAUGGAAGAAGAUCGAGGUGGAGCCCAUGGAGAUCGAGACUCCCGAGGAGGGCCUCAGCGUGGACGUGGAGCCCAUGCCCGAGGAUGCCCCGGAAGAGGCUCAGUGUGACCCGGAGUCGCCCGAGGCCCAGACGGCUGCGGCGGAACAGG